GUGCUCGCUUUGGCAGCACAGAGACUAAAAUUGGAAAGCUACAGAGAAGAUGAGCAUGGCCUCGGUGCAAGGAAAACAUGCAAAACUACUGAGUAUAUAGUUAAAUGU
ensembl:snRNA U6 U6 spliceosomal RNA